UUCAUAACUCAAAAUCAAAAAGUCGUAGAGCAAUGCGGUUUGUUCCAUUGAAUUCAGCGGCUCAUUUUCUGUAUUAUACCAACUUUUCACGAGAUUUAAAAUUUUCAAUUUUUUUGCUCAAUUUCCUGAGUAAAAUACACUUACCUUCAAAGAGGUGAAAAAAAAUUUUUUUUUAAACUAACUCCAGCAAAUUCUUAUGGACUUCUACAUGUCUUAACAACCCACUAAAGUUGUUAAAAGUCCAAAUAUUCGAUUUUUUAUGUUUGAUUUUUUCAAUUUUCGUCGCAAUUUUUGUCAAUUUUCGGUACCCGGAACAUUUAUUUAUUUAUUUAUAGAUAACCUUAUGAAGUUUAUUAUCGUUGGAAAACUCUGUUAAUUAUCUAUCUUUUAAAAAAAAGGACAUUGCUCUCCGACUAAUAGUUUUCGUAAAAAUUGCAAACAGAAACAAAAAAAAUCGUUUUCAAAAUUUAUUUUUUUUACAAAUGAUUAAUGAGUGUAUUUAAACUUAAUCAAGUGUUGAGAAGAAAGUAUUUUGUUUUAGAUUGUGGUGAUAAAUCUGUAUCCGAAAAUUUAAAAAAAUUAAAAAACAUCAACCGUACUUAUAAUAUUUUUGUUUACGGGUCCAAUGAUUACGUAGUAAAAGGUUUGAGGUUUAUGUCGAGUUCCAUAUUAAGAUAUGUUGAACUCCAGAAUCAGAUGAUGACAGUUUUGAAUGAGGGCCAUAAUGAAACAUUUCAUUCAUUAUAAUUAGUUGUUUUACUUUAAUUUAAUUGUUUUUUGUUAAUUUUCUAG